rnacentral:siRNA from 1 species
GCUCAAUUGGUAAAGACUCUAGGC